GUUUAUAAAUCUCAAUUGUGAUGAUGGACAUAUCGACUUGCAAUUUUCUGACAUAUCUGAACUCUGAAGUAUGUAUUACUGAAAAUACUGAAUGUGUCCAAAGUAUAUAAAUCUGAAUGGUUACAUGGGCAUAUAGGCUGGCAAUAUUUUCUGACAUGUGAUGGACAUAUAUAUCCCAAGUAUAUCAAAUUGUGAUUUGUGAGUAACAAAUGUACACUAUAUAUAAAUUUUGCGGUUUGGAUGAGCAUAUUUGUGUGAAGUCCAUGAUUCGCCUUGGUAAUUAGGGUCAAAGUAUGCCAAUGUGCGGUCAUAUAUAAUUAAUUUUACUUGUAUACAUGUAUUCACACUGGUGGAGAAAUGAUCUUUACUGGGUCGACCCAAUACCACAAUAGUCCCAGUUCCAAAAAGAACCGGGACUACAAAUGAUCUUUAGUCCCGGUUGAAAACCCCAGAGCCAUUCUAUGUUACCAACCGGGACUAAAGAUCCAACCGGGACUAAAGAUCAUUUGUAGUCCCGGUUCAUCCCCCUGUCAGAUGAAUGUCAGGGGGCCGAGGAUCUUUAGUCCCGGUUGGUGUCACCAACCAGGACUAAAGAUUCCUCUCUUUAGUCUCGGUUGGUAACAUCAACCGUGACUAAAGAUGGAUCUUUAGUCCCGGUUAUUUCAACAGGGACUAAAGAUGCCUAUCUUUAGUCCCGGAUUCCUACUCCUGGUUGAAAACCCGGGACUAAAGGGGUUACCAACCGGGAGUAAAAAUGACUUCUCCACAGUGUCAGUACUGAUGAUUGACACUUGUGACUUCAUCAGCAGGAGAGUAUAUAUAGUUGCUAGUUUCCUGAGCAAUGACUCGGUUUAAUUUGUUUUCUGUAUCAAUUGUCAGCAUUCUGUACCAAUGAAUCGUUCCUGAGUAUAUAUGCUACUACGUACAGUAGUCUACAGAACUAUUAGGUGGUGAUUUGCCCUCUUUUGUGCAUACUGUACAUGUAAAAUUUUAUGGUCAUGCCUUGUUGUAUUAAAAGGCUAAUAUUUGUCAUGCAAGCAAUUUUUUCAUUUUAUUUAUCACAGUAGUGUGUUGGCUUUGUUUGAAGAAUUUACUCAUGGGAAACUACUGUUAAAAUUUAAUUAUAGACACUAAUCUUGAGAUCACUCUUAGCUUUUAAAAUACUGAUUUUGUUUGCAGGAAUCAGAAGUACAUAAGCAAAGUAACCCACAGUAGUUAUGUGAGAGAAUCCAUGUUAUGAAGUUGACAGGAAAUUGUGAUGUGUGUUUUGGAGAUAUGUGCAAUUUUUCCUGGACCUCGAUAUAAACAAAAAAAAAACAUUUUCUUUCUCAAGGAUGAUGUAUUUGUGCUAAAUAUUUUGAUUUGGGGCAAUGUAGUUUGGUGACAUGUCAUUGAGAAGAAUGAUCAUGUGGAUCAGUUUAGUUUAUCACUUGGAAAAAGUGAGCAUAAAUUUAUGGUUCUGUUUGGAGGCAUGUUCUUGAUAAGAGCGAACAUAUCUCAUCUCAUCUCAUCAAAUGAAUGGGGAAUGUUUAUUCUUUCUCACAUUAAGCCAUGUAUGCUAGACUAGAUGAACUGUUGGAUUUAAAAAGAACGGUUGGAUAUAUACAGAGAAUAGGAAGACCGGAAGAAUCAGGAGAUUUCUUGGGAGCAGGCCUAGGAUUGUGAGUAAAAAAAAAUGGGUAACUUUGAUCAGAUUAAAAAGAAAUGACCCAGAAGGUGACCAUUAAACAGUCCCGCUGUUCAUGAAAGAGAGAAAAAGGAAAAAAUGUAGACUUCCUUAGGAGAAGGCCUAGGACUGUGAGUAAAACAAUAUCAUGGGUAACUUUUUGAUCAGAUUAAAAAGAAAUGAUCCAAAAGGUGACCAUUAAAUAAUCCCGCUGUUCAUGAAAGAGAAAAUGAAAAAGGAGUAGAUGUAGACUUCCUUGGGAGAAGGCCUGGGGCCGUGAGUAAAAAAAAUAUCAUGGGUAACUUUGAUCAGAUUAAAAAGAAAUGACCUAGAAGGUGACCAUUAAACAGUUCCGUUGUUCAUGAAAGAAAGAAAAAUAAAAAGGGAGUUGAUGUAAAAAGUGUAACAUUCUCUCCUCCGAUGAUUAUUCCAAAAAAAAAGUGUAACAUUGGCAUAAAUACUCCUGGUAAAUUAGAAUAAUACAAACAAUUCUAAUAAAUACCAACGUUCUCAAAUGGUUCAAAACUUAUUGUUUUAAAAAUAGGAUGUUCAAAACUUAACCCAUAUCAAAAUCAAGCAUGUUUAUAAAAUUUGAUAUGAAAUGAGUUAGAUUUAAAACUAAAUAAUCCUACUACCACAAUAAAUUUUAUAUUUUUUCUUUAACAUGCUAAUAGAAGAUUUACAAUAAAUUUCACAUGCUAGACAUAAUUAUGGUUAAUUAUUUGUUAUCAUGAUAAUAUUUCCAUUAUAGCUAAAAAGAUUGUAACUAAACUUGCUAUCAAAUUUGUUCGUCAAAAACUCUUUUAGAAUAUCUAUACACUUUACAUAUCAUAACAUUUAAUAGGGAGCGAGAUCAUUAUCGCGCGAACGCUUGAAUCUACUGGCUGGUAUAUAUUGAAUGUUUUUUGUGUUUCUUUUGUACUAUCUUUUCUAUCCAUUAUUAGAUGAUUCCAUAUUUGCUAGCACUGCACAGUUAGCUAGAUCAGUCCAAAAGUUUUGUAAUGUUUCUUGAAAAUUAUAUUUUAUGGCCAUAUCUACUUGUAUAUAUGUCCACUGGAAAUAGUUACCAGAUUUUAUUUCAGGCAAAAAUAUAUACUAGUUUAUGGUUUGAUUGAAUAUUUUUUUAGCUGGAUACAAUAUUUGCAGUUACUCUCCCUCCGUCCCAAAAUAUAAGCAUUUUUAGCUAUGAAUCUGGACGAUUCAUAGCUAAAAAUGCUUAUAUUUUAUUCAUAGCUAAAAAUGCUUAUAUUUUGGGACGGAUGGAGUAAAUUAAUAUUUGUUAAGACGAUUGUUUUUUUUUUCGCUCAUAUUGGGCAUAUGUUUGAGGCAAGGUACCUUGCAUAAGCACCAUUGCUUGGUCAUGUAAAUUUGUGUCGUUUUAGCUUUGUAAAAAAAAAUAGUGGUCCCUUUUUUAGGUGAACUGAAAAAGAACGUAAUUCUAUUAAAAUAACUCUAUUUUAGAAUGUAGAUCGAUUUAGAUUUAAUAUUAUUAAACGCGUUGCAUUUCAUUCUAAAGCACAUAUUUAAAUGCAUUGUUGGUUCAUUUUAAUUUUCUAGUACAAAUUUAAGUAUAUAGGAGAUUCAAUUCAACAUAAUGAAGGGUUGAAAUAUCCAGAGUGAACAAAGAUAAAUACUCAUUGAAUUGAAUCGUUCAAUGCAACAUGUCCAAGUGGAGAUGAUUGGGUAGAGACCAGUGUUUUAAAAGACGGAAAAUAGGUGUCAAACUGAUAGGAUAUCACUGAACGGUUAAUCGGAAUACGGACGAUUAGUCGGAAUAAUUCGAAAUUUGUCCUUCACAGAAAAAUAUGUAUAUUUGCUUCAUAUUUCAGUUUUGCUUCCAUUUAAACAUACAUUAUAUUGUUACUACUAAACCAAUUAUACUUUUAGCACUCAACCAAUUACUAGUAUGUUAAUGUUGCUGGUAAUACUCAGCCAAUUGCAACAAAAUAGUUUCUACUGUGGAUCAUGCCAUGAUUGUAGGUUUGUAACUAUCACUAGCAAACGAAGUGGAAACCAGCACCAUAUGUGUGGGGCUUGGCCCAUUAAUCAAAUUAAGCAGCAAUUAGUCGCUAA
rnacentral:sRNA from 1 species